UACGAAGGGGGCUAGCGUUGUUCGGAGUCACUGGGCGUAAAGGGCGCGUAGGCGGCUUCAUAAGUCGGGGGUGAAAGCCUGUGGCUCAACCACAGAAUUGCCUUCGAUACUGUAGAGCUUGAGACCGGAAGAGGUAAGUGGAACUGCGAGUGUAGAGGUGAAAUUCGUAGAUAUUCGCAAGAACACCAGUGGCGAAGGCGGCUUACUGGUCCGGUUCUGACGCUGAGGCGCGAAAGCGUGGGGAGCAAACAGG
rnacentral:rRNA from 1 species